rnacentral:rRNA from 1 species
UUGAUCCUGGCUCAGGAUGAACGCUAGCGGGAGGCUUAAUACAUGCAAGUCGAGGGGCAGCAUGGGACUUCGGUCCUGAUGGCGACCGGCGCACGGGUGAGUAACGCGUACAGAACCUGCCUACGAGCGGGGAAUAGCCCCGGGAAACUGGGAUUAAUGCCCCAUAGGACCAUAAUGCCGCCUGGCAUACUGGUUAAAGUUUCGGCGCUCGUAGAUGGCUGUGCGUGCCAUUAGCUAGUUGGCGGUGUGACGGACCACCAAGGCGACGAUGGCUAGGGGGCGUGAGAGCGUGGCCCCCCACACGGGUACUGAGACACGGACCCGACUCCUACGGGAGGCAGCAGUAAGGAAUAUUGGACAAUGGGGGCAACCCUGAUCCAGCCAUCCCGCGUGCAGGAUGACGGCCCUACGGGUUGUAAACUGCUUUUGCGAGGGAAGAAACGAACCCACUUGUGGGUUUUUGACGGUACCUCGAGAAUAAGCACCGGCUAGCUCCGUGCCAGCAGCCGCGGUAAUACGGAGGGUGCAAGCGUUAUCCGGAAUCACUGGGUUUAAAGGGUGCGUAGGCGGCAUGGUAAGUCAGGGGUGAAAGGCCGUCGCUUAACGAUUGGACUGCCUUUGAUACUGUCAUGCUUGAAUCAAGUUAAGGGCGGCGGAAUGUGGCAUGUAGCGGUGAAAUGCCUAGAUAUGCCAUAGAACACCGAUUGCGGAGGCAGCUGGCUAGGCUUAGAUUGACGCUGAGCGCCGAAAGCGUGGGG